rnacentral:rRNA from 1 species
CCUACGGGAGGCAGCAGUGGGGAAUAUUGCACAAUGGGGGAAACCCUGAUGCAGCGACGCCGCGUGAGUGAAGAAGUAUUUCGGUAUGUAAAGCUCUAUCAGCAGGGAAGAAGAAAGACGGUACCUGACUAAGAAGCCCCGGCUAACUACGUGCCAGCAGCCGCGGUAAUACGUAGGGGGCAAGCGUUAUCCGGAUUUACUGGGUGUAAAGGGAGCGUAGACGGCUGUGCAAGUCUGAAGUGAAAGCCCAGGGCUCAACCCUGGGACUGCUUUGGAAACUGUGGAGCUAGAGUGCUGGAGAGGUAAGUGGAAUUCCUAGUGUAGCGGUGAAAUGCGUAGAUAUUAGGAGGAACACCAGUGGCGAAGGCGGCUUACUGGACAUUAACUGACGCUGAGGCACGAAGGCCAGGGGAGCGAAAGGGAUUAGAUACCCCAGUAGUC